CAAUAGCGUAUAUUAAAGUUGUUGCAGUUAAAAAGCUCGUAGUUGGAUUUCUGGCAGGUUUUCAAGGUCCGCUUGUUGCGUGUGCUGCGAAACCCUACCAUCCAUCUGUUAACUCCUCGCGGACUUUACUGGCCGGUGGAGGGCUCAGAUAUUUUACCUUGAAAAAUUAGAGUGUUUAAAGCAGGCUAUUGCCUUGAAUACAUUAGCAUGGAAUAAUAAUCUAGGACUUCGGUUCUAUUUUGUUGGUUUCUAGUACUGAAGUAAUGAUUGAUAGGGAUAGUUGGGGGUGGCUAGUAUUGACCGGCCAGAGGUGAAAUUCUUGGAUUCGGUCAAGACUAACUUAUGCGAAAGCAUUCACCAAGGAUGUCUUCUUUAAUCAAGAACGAAAGUUGGGGGAGUCGAAGACGAUCAGAUACCAU
rnacentral:rRNA from 1 species